GGGAAUGUAGUUUAGUGGCAGAGUGCUUGCCUGGUACGCAUGAGGCCCUGAGUUCGAUUCCUCAGUACCA
rnacentral:tRNA from 1 species